rnacentral:lncRNA from 1 species
UUUGUGUCUAGCUCAGGGCUUGUAAAAGCACCAAUCAGUGCCCUGUCAAAACAGACCACUGGGCUCUACCAAUCAGCAGGAUGUGGAUGGCGGGGGUUGGCGGGGGGCAGAUAAGAGAAUAAAAGCAGGCUGCCAGAGCCAGCAGUUGCAACCUGCUCAGGUCCCCUUCUACACUGUGGAAGCUUUGUUCUUUCGCUCUUUGCAAUAAAUCUUGCUACUGCUCACUCUUUGGGUCCACUCUGCUUUUAUGAGCUGUAACACUCACCGCGAAGGUCUGCAGCUUCACUCCUGAAGCCAGUGAGACCACGAGCCCACCUGGAGGAAGGAACAACUCCAGAGGCCCUGCCUUAAGAGCUGUAACACUCACCGCGAAGGUCUGCAGCUUCACUCCUGAAGCCAGCGAGACCACGAGCCCACCUGGAGGAACAAACAACUCCAGAGGCGCCGCCUUAAGAGCUGUAACACUCACCGCGAAGGUCUGCAGCUUCACUCCUGAGCCAGCGAGACCACGAACCCACCAGAAGGAAGAAACUCCGAAAACAUCUUAACAUCAGAAGGAACAAAUUCCAGACGCGCCAUCUUAAGAGCUGUAACACUCACCGCGAGGGGCGUGGCUUCAUGCUUGAAGUCAGUGAGACCAAGAACCCACCAAUUCUGGACACAUUAUGACCUUUGUUUCCUGCCAUGGAAGAAAAUUUAAAUUCCCAGGCUGAAGAAGCAAAUUAGGCCUCUCAAGCAGAAACCAACAGGAGUUUAUAGGAAUGAAUGCAGGAGGAAAUGACACCUGAGUUGAGCAGUAAGAGUGUAUCACAAACUCAUGAAAAAUUUCAUAGAUGUCUCAGAAGAAGCAGUGAAAAAUAUUGGUUCUGAGAAGCAAUCAUCAGCCAAUAGUUUUGGCUGAUUUCUGGUAUCACUCAUGAGAGACCUGACAGCUCAUCCUUCCAUAACAAACUACGUUGAGUUCAUCACCUGACAGUUGCCUCACUGUUAUGUUUGAUUUCCAAACUCAAAUUACUUCUGGACUUCUGGUUUGUUGACCUUCUGCACUUAUUCGCAAUAAGCAACUUCUCGUCAGUACACUUCUACAACUCAAGCCCAUAUCAUUGCUAGUCGUAGCUACCAACCUAAACUGAAAAGUCAGAACAAAAAACACAGAAAAGCAGAAUGAACAAACUGUCACUUGAGGGAUGACUGCCCAGCUGUCCAUCAAAUGACACUCUAGGAUAAAGCCAGUGUGUAUGUCUGAGAUCACAAGGAGGGAAGUUGUGAAAUGGACAUCGUUUUUAUUUCCAGGUGCACAGCGAUAUCAGGUAUCUCAGAUAACAGAAUUUCCAACUUCAGAUAUCUCUUACCUAUUGAAUUCUUUUUUUCACAUUUUUAUCAAGCUUUAUUUACACACUGUUGACAAUAUAGUUGUAAUUUGGUUGUUAGACAUAUUGUUUUUUAAAAGUGAGGUGUGUACUGUAAUC